rnacentral:tRNA from 1 species
GCCGAUCAGGUGUUUUACAUAUCAAUUUUUCGUGUUGGGGUGGAUUGUGUGAUCGUUCGGUA